GCUGGGCAUCGGGGAGAUGGCCGAGACUGACCCCAAGACCGUGCAGGACCUCACCUCGGUGGUGCAGACACUCCUGCAGCAGAUGCAAGAUAAAUUUCAGACCAUGUCUGACCAGAUCAUUGGGAGAAUUGAUGAUAUGAGUAGUCGCAUUGAUGAUCUGGAAAAGAAUAUCGCGGACCUCAUGACACAGGCUGGGGUGGAAGAACUGGAAAGUGAAAACAAGAUACCUGCCACGCAAAAGAGUUGAAGGUUGCUAAUAAUUUAUACUGGAAUCUGGCAUUUUUCCAAGCCAAGAGAAGAUCGAAUGGCUUUUUGCAGCUAACUACUAUGUGUAGACAGGUUUUAUAUUAUAAAUGCAUUCUCCUGAAAACAUAAGACCAUUUGACUGAUUCUGCUCCAGAAUCUUAUUGAGGCAAAGGACUGGACCGAAUUAUUCAUGGAACAGAAGCCUAGGACUGGAAACACCCAGGGAGAAGGCCACGUGAUGAUGGAGGCAGAGACUGGAGUGACGCAGCUGGGAGCCAGGGAACAUCAACGAUCACCAAGUGUCUCCAGGAACCAUCAGGAGCUGGAGGGGCGGGAAGGAUCUUCCCGGGAGCAUGGAUUUGUAGACACCUUGAUUUUGGACUUCUGCCCUCCAGAACUAUGAAAGGGCAGGACAGCCGUGUCCUACAUUUCCCGCCAUUUCCCCAUGGUGAUGGAGCUGCAGGGGUCCUGAGAGAGGGACGCUCACAAGGUCCCCGCACCACUUCCCGAGGGUCCCAGAAUGACAGAUUCGUAUUCUAAAGGGCCUGCCAUCUGUCAUGUGAUGCUAUACGAGAGUCAGGUUGGAAUUUGGUAUCUUCUGGCUACAAAGAGUCUGUUUGAUCAGCCUUACAAUCUCUGUUUUAAUGUUAAUGCUGGUCCAUUGUGCCUGAAUUCCAAAGGAAGGAGGGCAUAAAAAGGCAUGUCCAACCCCUGCUUCCCAUCAUGGCCUGAACUAGUUUUUCAGGUUUACUUUGGAAUCCCCUUGGCUGAGAGGAGGGAUCCAUUCAGUCAGUCAGAGGGCUUAGAAUUUUAUUUUGGGGGCUGGGCGCAGUGGUUCAUGCCUGUAAUCCCAACACUUUGGGAGACCAAGGCAGGCAGAUCACUUGAGGUCAGGACUUUGAGACCUGCCUGGCCAACAUGGAGAAACCCUGUCUCUACUAAAAAUACAAAAUUAGCCGGGCAUAGCGGCGCAUGCCUGUAAUCCCAGCUACUUGGGAGGCUGAGGCAGGAGAAUCGCUUGAACCUAGGAGAGACGGAGGCUGCAGUGAGCCAAGAUCGCGCCAUUGUACUCCAGCUUGGGCAACAAGAGUG
rnacentral:lncRNA from 1 species